rnacentral:lncRNA from 1 species
GAUCAGUCUCAAGUGGUGUGGCAAAGAAGAUCGUUAUCGUCUUUUAGUGGUGCCUGUUCCGAAGGAGAUUUGUAGCUUCAUCGAAUUCAGAAAACUAGUACAAUUAAGUAUUGUGGUAAACAGUUUAGGUAAAAUCUGGCCGACCACAUUACUUAAUUGUCUAGUUGUCUGAAAGCGCAACAACUCUGACCUCCCUGAGAACCUUGCCCAACAAUAUAGUUGAGGAGAACCUCAACUUCCUAGCGUUCAGACAACUAGUACAGUUCAA